rnacentral:sRNA from 1 species
UGAUGCGGGUGCUGAGUGAGAAGGACGUGGACCCCGUACGCACCACGUCCAAUGACAUUGUGGAGAUCUUCACGGUGCUGGGCAUUGAAGCCGUGCGGAAGGCCCUGGAGCGGGAGCUGUACCACGUCAUCUCCUUUGAUGGCUCCUAUGUCAAUUACCGACACUUGGCUCUCUUGUGUGAUACCAUGACCUGUCGUGGCCACUUGAUGGCCAUCACCCGACACGGAGUCAACCGCCAGGACACAGGACCACUCAUGAAGUGUUCCUUUGAGGAAACGGUGGACGUGCUUAUGGAAGCAGCCGCACACGGUGAGAGUGACCCCAUGAAGGGGGUCUCUGAGAAUAUCAUGCUGGGCCAGCUGGCUCCGGCCGGCACCGGCUGCUUUGACCUCCUGCUUGAUGCAGAGAAGUGCAAGUAUGGCAUGGAGAUCCCCACCAAUAUCCCCGGCCUGGGGGCUGCUGGACGUGAGUAUGAGGCCCCAGCUGCGGUACCUGCUUGCGUCGGCGAGGCGGUGGGGCAGGCCGUGGGUGCGAGGGUGUCACCAGUCCAUGGUUGCUGUUCUUGCUCCUCACGAUUUCCUGUGUUCCUCUUUGCAGCCACC